rnacentral:rRNA from 1 species
GACGAACGCUGGCGGCGUGCUUAACACAUGCGAGUCGAACGGUAAGGCCCUUCGGGGUACACGAGUGGCGAACGGGUGAGUAACACGUGGGUGAUCUGCCCUGCACUUCGGGAUAAGCCUGGGAAACUGGGUCUAAUACCGGAUAGGACUCCGGACUGCAUGGUCUGGGGUGGAAAGCUUUUGCGGUGUGGGAUGGGCCCGCGGCCUAUCAGCUUGUUGGUGGGGUGAUGGCCUACCAAGGCGACGACGGGUAGCCGGCCCGAGAGGGGGACCGGCCACACGGGGACUGAGAUACGGCCCAGACUCCUACGGGAGGCAGCAGUGGGGAAUAUUGCACAAGGGGCGCAAGCCUGAUGCAGCGACGCCGCGUGAGGGAUGACGGCCUUCGGGUUGUAAACCUCUUUCAGCAUCGACGAAGCGAAAGUGACGGUAGGUGCAGAAGAAGGACCGGCCAACUACGUGCCAGCCGCCGCCGUAA